CUGGAGAUCCCUGCCUACCUGAGGCCUUCCAAAGGAGGUAAAUGUUUGGAGUGGAUAAAUCUGUCCGCCCAGCAGAGAGUAUCCCAGGACUCCAAGUGCUACUUUUCACAGAAUUGUCUUGAGAAAUCCAUAUGAAAUGGAAUUGUUAUGGAAUGACCAGGGACUGUUCGCCUGAAGAAAGAGGCUUUCUAGACUCUGCUUCCUCCAGUGCUGAGAUCCUGGUACAUGGAGUGUCUGGGACCAGGAUUCUGCCUCACUCCAUUACUUGGAGGUAAAAACUGAAGACCCAUUGCCUCAGCUCUCACUGCUGACUUGUGCAAAUUCACCCAGUAAGUCUGGAACUGAAAUGAGCUGAGAACCCUGGUUUCCCAAGUGCCAUCCUGGUGCUUAAGAGCUGAUGAUGAAGGGGGAAGUCGCUUGCAAUUAGCCACACUUCCCUGGCUUACAAAAAUAGAGUUGCUAUUUCACACUGCUGGUAAUUGCUCUAUUUUCUGCCUACAAAACUUUUGCUUC